rnacentral:other from 1 species
CGUACUCUACUGAGCGCGACAGCACAGGACAAGUUUGAUUUGAACCUAAUUUGAACCCUGGGAGGCUUAUUCGCGAGAGUUAGAGGACAUGCCCGCUUGACGGGACGUCCAGACUCCGCUGAGCCACCCACUUUGUCUAACGGGUUCAUCAAACACCAGUGCAUCGGCUUGAGCGGAUACUU